GAUGAAGAACGCAGCGAAAUGCGAUAAGUAAUGUGAAUUGCAGAAUUCAGUGAAUCAUCGAAUCUUUGAACGCACAUUGCGCCCCCUGGUAUUCCGGGGGGCAUGCCUGUUCGAGCGUCAUUUCACCACUCAAGCCUCGCUUGGUAUUGGGCAACGCGGUCCGCCGCGUGCCUCAAAUCGACCGGCUGGGUCUUCUGUCCCCUAAGCGUUGUGGAAACUAUUCGCUAAAGGGUGUUCGGGAGGCUACGCCGUAAAACAACCCAAUUUCUAAGGUUGACCUCGGAUCAGGUAGGGAUACCCGCUGAGCUUAAGCAUAUCAAUAAGCGGAGGA
rnacentral:misc_RNA from 1 species